rnacentral:rRNA from 1 species
GGUCCCGCCUGCCUGUGACCCCCAAGUUUAACGGCCGCGGUAUACUGACCGUGCGAAGGUAGCGUAAUCAUUUGUCUUUUAAAUGGAGACCUGUAUGAAUGGCAUAACGAGGGUUCAACUGUCUCCCCCCCCCAGUCAAUGAAAUUGAUCUGCCCGUGCAGAAGCGGACAUAACAACAUAAGACGAGAAGACCCUAUGGAGCUUUAGACAAAAGGCCACCCAUGUAAAGACACCUUUGUACCCUAAAGGGGCUUACAGGCUAAAAACUAACUGAACCCUGGCCCGGAUGUCUUCGGUUGGGGCGACCCUGGGGGAAAAACUAGCCCCCAAGAGGAACAAGGCAAACCCCUAAGCCAAGAGAAACAACUCCAAGCAACAGAAAAUCUGACCACAAACGACCCAGGGCCCCACCCUGAUCAACGAACCAAGUUACCCUAGGGAUAACAGCGCAAUCCCCUCCCAGAGCCCAUAUCGACGAGGGGGUUUACGACCUCGAUGUUGGAUCAGGACAUCCUAAUGGUGCAGCCGCUAUUAA